GGUGAUGACGUUGGGAACGCGAGCGGCGGAUGGGUGAGUAACACGUGGGGAACCUGCCCCAUAGUCUGGGAUACCACUUGGAAACAGGUGCUAAUACCGGAUAAGAAAGCAGAUCGCAUGAUCAGCUUAUAAAAGGCGGCGUAAGCUGUCGCUAUGGGAUGGCCCCGCGGUGCAUUUGCUAGUUGGUAGGGUAACGGCCUACCAAGGCAAUGAUGCAUAGCCGAGUUGAGAGACUGAUCGGCCACAUUGGGACUGAGACACGGCCCAAACUCCUACGGGAGGCAGCAGUAGGGAAUCUUCCACAAUGGACGAAAGUCUGAUGGAGCAACGCCGCGUGAGUGAAGAAGGAAAACGGAUCGUAAAGCUCUGUUGUUGGUGAAGAAGGAUUUUGGUAGUAACUGGCCUUUAUUUGACGGUAAUCAACCAGAAAGUCACGGCUAACUACGUGCCAGCAGCCGCGGUAAUACGUAGGUGGCAAGCGUUGUCCGGAUUUAUUGGGCGUAAAGCGAGCGCAGGCGGAAGAAUAAGUCUGAUGUGAAAGCCCUCGGCAUAACCGAGGAACUGCAUCGGAAACUGUAAAAACUUGAGUGCAGAAGAGGAGAGUGGAACUCCAUGUGUAGCGGUGGAAUGCGUAGAUAUAUGGAAGAACACCAGUGGCGAAGGCGGCUCUCUGGUCUGCAACUGACGCUGAGGCUCGAAAGCAUGCGUAGCGAACAGGAUUAGAUACCCUGGUAGUCCAUGCCGUAAACGAUGAGUGCUAAGUGUUGGGAGGUUUCCGCCUCUCAGUGCUGCAGCUAACGCAUUAAGCACUCCGCCUGGGGAGUACGACCGCAAGGUUGAAACUCAAAGGAAUUGACGGGGGCCCGCACAAGCGGUGGAGCAUGUGGUUUAAUUCGAAGCAACGCGAAGAACCUUACCAGGUCUUGACAUCUAGUGCAAUCCGUAGAGAUACGGAGUUCCCUUCGGGGACACUAAGACAGGUGGUGCAUGGCUGUCGUCAGCUCGUGUCGUGAGAUGUUGGGUUAAGUCCCGCAACGAGCGCAACCCUUGUCAUUAGUUGCCAGCAUUAAGUUGGGCACUCUAAUGAGACUGCCGGUGAGAAACCGGAG
rnacentral:rRNA from 1 species